GGUAGAGUGGCUGAAUUUAGGCAUUAGACUGUAAAUCUAAUUAUAAAGGUUGGACUCCUUUUUCUACCA
rnacentral:tRNA from 1 species